UUAUGGGAGGCAGCGAGUGGGGAAUAUUGCACAAUGGGCGCAAGCCUGAUGCAGCCAUGCCGCGUGUAUGAAAAAGGCCUUCGGGUUGUAAAGUACUUUCAGUCGUGAGGAAGGUGUUAAGGUUAAUAACCUUAGCAAUUGACGUUAGCGACAGAAGAAGCACCGGCUAACUCCGUGCCAGCAGCCGCGGUAAUACGGAGGGUGCGAGCGUUAAUCGGAAUUACUGGGCGUAAAGGGCACGCAGGCGGUUAAUUAAGUUGGAUGUGAAAUCCCCGGGCUUAACCUGGGAAUGGCAUUCAAGACUGGUUAGCUAGAGUCUUGUAGAGGGGGUAGAAUUCCAUGUGUAGCGGUGAAAUGCGUAGAGAUGUGGAGGAAUACCGGUGGCGAAGGCGGGCCCCUGGACAAAGGACUGACGCUCAUGUGCGAAAGCGUGGGGAGCAAACAGGGAUUAGAUACC
rnacentral:rRNA from 1 species